GGGGCUAUAGCUCGCUGGAGAGCGCCUGCUUUGCACGCAGGAGUUCGCGUUCAUCCCGCAUAGCUCCACCA
rnacentral:tRNA from 1 species